UGGCAAGUAACAAGCUAUAUAGACAGCACAACUUCCACAAUCUAAAGUUAAAUAUCCAUAUGGUUAAGAGAGGGGAAAAAAAUUCAGCACAUCCUGUUUCCUUACUGAUUUUCGGAAGAUAUUUUUGGGGACCGAGACACUGACCUGGAUGACGUGGCUUUUCGGCUUUCUGGUGCUUGGAUUGACUGGAUCACUUGCUUUCCUUGGAUCUUGACCACU
rnacentral:lncRNA from 1 species